rnacentral:rRNA from 1 species
UACGUAGGGGGCGAGCGUUGUCCGGAGUUACUGGGCGUAAAGGGCACGCAGGCGGUGCGGGGCGUUUCGCGUGACAGCGGAGGGCUUAACUCUCCGAGGAUGCGAAAGACGGCGGCACUUGAGGGCCAGAGAGGGACACGGAAUUCCGGGUGGAGUGGUGAAAUGCGUAGAGAUCCGGAGGAACACCGAAGGCGAAGGCAGUGUCCUGGCUGGUGACUGACGCUGAGGUGCGAAAGCUAGGGGAGCGAACGGG